UACGAAGGGUGCAAGCGUUACUCGGAAUUACUGGGCGUAAAGCGUGCGUAGGUGGUUCGUUAAGUCAGAUGUGAAAGCCCCGGGCUCAACCUGGGAACUGCAUUUGAAACUGGCGGGCUUGAGUGUGGCAGAGGGGGGUGGAAUUCCGCGUGUAGCAGUGAAAUGCGUAGAGAUGCGGAGGAACACCGAUGGCGAAGGCAGCCCCCUGGGCCAACACUGACGCUCAGGCACGAAAGCGUGGGGAGCAAACAGG
rnacentral:rRNA from 1 species